GGUUUCUAGUGUGGCUUCCGAAUGUUCUUUUAGUUUGGGGUCAAGGGUUGUGGAUCCUUUUAGGAUUUGUUUAACUCCUAAGAUGGUGGAGGUAUUAGUAAGCACAAGUGAUUCGAUCAAGGCAGAAGGUUUUAGUUAUUACAAGGAUCCAACCCAAUAUGAAUUGGAGCUUUAUUGAGCUUUGGAGGAAGUUGAACAAGAGGUUUUGUCAUCUCAAAAUAUUCAAGGAAUACAUCCACCAGUUCCAAGUGCAUCAAGUAUCCAGUUCCAAUCAUCCAGCCAUGAUUCUACCAACAUCUGAGAAUCUGAGGUGUGUUUAUGACUUUAUGGAACUUCUAUAGUGUGAGGAGAAGGGGUUUGCACUCUCCUUAUGCUGCAUACUGCCAUACUGCAUACAUAUAUCCUAUGAUGUAACAUUUAUUAUUCUAAUAUCAUAUUGCUUCAAAGUUUAAACUUCAAUAGUAAUAAGAUUUGUUCUUUCACUAUUAUGGUGCGUUCGGUAUGGGGGUAAGAAUUUGAGGGUAUAAUUUAUUACCCAUAUAAAUGUUACAACCAAUGUUGCAAAAAUCCUUCUAAUCGGCGACUAGUCGCUAGUCGAGGCUUGCCGCUUCGACUAGAGGGUAAUCGGGUCACUUAAUCGGAGACCCGAUUAAAUCCCGACUAGUCGGCCUAGUCGUUUGUUUUUUGACAGAGUUCCAUCCACCUGCGAAUUGCGAUAAACUCCGAGUCUCCAAACGGAGACCAUUGCAGGUCAUUCUCCAAGACAAAGACACCCUUCAUCUCAUUCUCGGUUGGUUUCUCAGCACUACAGGUGAUACUCCAACCAAUGAGGACAAGAAGAAGUCUCUUUCGAUCUCUCCGUCGUCCGUCGUCUUCAGCCAUCUCCUCCAUCUUUGGUUUCUCGGCCGCACUUCAGAGUUUUCUUCGAGGAGCUUCUAGUCUUCAGAGCCCUACUAAGGCUUGAAGUCUAUUAGGCCUCUCCUUUGGGCCUUGCUUUGGACCUCUCUAAUGAUUUCUCUUGGCCCAUUACAAUAUCUAUUACUAAAUGACUCAAGUUUUGUAAAUCAGAUAUUCUUUUCGUUAUUUGUCAAAUCAGGUCAAUGACUAAUGUCUAGUUAAACGACAAAAAUGUCUAGUAAACGACUAAUGUUGUCAUUUUGGAGAGAAAUCAAUACUAUUUUAGUACCAUAAAUUUAUUUUACUUGAACAUACAUAUAUUUCACAUAUAGAAUUAUUUUUAAUAUAAAUAUAAAUAUAUUAUAUUUACAUAUUUUUAAUAUA